ACGUGAGCAGCAGGACCUCAAGGAAGUGGGGGUUAGAGAGGUGUUUGAGGUGGUGGCUUUGUUACGAAGCCACCACUGAUAAGGGAUAAUAAGUGCUGUGUAAAGGCAUGUGGUGUGAAGUCCUACCAGUGUGACCUGCUGCUGCUGGGUGAAAGGAAAUCCUGUCCAGUGGUGUGCAGCAUUCAGGGAUCGUUUGCUGCAGGUGGGGGGAUAACCUAAAGCAAACUUGCAGGAAGAGGGAAUUUAGACACAAAUGUGAGUGAAAACCAAGACAUUUAAAAAGGUUUACAGUGAUGGAUAAAAAUGAAAGGACAUAAAGUGUUGGAAGAGAAGGAAUGAAGACAGUAACUGUGCAAUAUUUAAUAACCAAAGGGGGGAAAUAAUGGAAUCAAGAGAAGCUAGAAAUUACAAAGCACAAAAAUGAAGCCAUUGGAGACAAAGCCUGUAAGUGAAGAGGCUAGAAAAAUAAGCAGCUUUUUUUUUAUUUUAGAACGUCUUUUGUUUCUGGUGUAAUUGAACAUGGCACGUGUCCAUUGCCAACUGCAGAUAGCAGAAUUGUUUGUAAUGAGAGGAGGGGGAAGUGUUCUGUAAAUAUUUGCUCUGUGUUGGUGCUGGUGUCAUAUUAGGAUGAUGUACUUCCCAGGCAAACAGUGAGGGGGAUUUUAAAUAGCAUCCACUGGGGUGAACGAUUUUGAUCAGUGAUCUUCAGCAAAUGGCAUUUGUAGCCCUGUGAAAACCGCCUGGAGGCACCUGUGGUCUGCUCCCUGUCAGGUUCUGGAGUGCUGGGGAAAGCCUGCAGUGACAGAGAAGAGACAGCGCUGUGCUGGGCUUCAAGGACGUCAGGAGGACUGCUGCAGACCUUUCCCUAAGGAGCAGACACCACCACCACCCAGCGUGCUGCAUUGAUGACUCCUGCUCAAACUCCUGUUUCUCCUAUCCUCAUCCUUGCCCCAGGGAUAAAUUAUUCUUUGCAGAAACUUACAAGUGUCCCGUAACCACUCACCAUCUCUCAGCCCUGCCGGGUACACACUGCAGUCUGGCUUCUCCACGCACCUGUGGGCCAUAAGAGCUUCCUGAAGGAUUUUUGACAACCUGAACCAACAGAGGUAAGCUGGGCUCUGGGCCUGAGCAAGCCUCUUUAAGUAUGUGGGAAGUACAAAGCAGCCAACCUGUCCUCACAUCAC
rnacentral:lncRNA from 1 species